AGAAACUUAGGAUAACUAGACCAAGAGCCUUCAAAGCCCUAAGUAAGAGUUAAACUCUCUUAGUUUCUG
rnacentral:tRNA from 1 species